UACGGAGGGUGCGAGCGUUGCUCGGAAUUACUGGGCGUAAAGGGCACGUAGGCGGGUUUUUUAGUGAGGCGUGAAAUUCCUGGGCUGAACCUGGGGAUAGCAGUUGAGACUGGGAGUCUAGAGUACGGUAGGGAGGGGUAGAAUUCCACGUGUAGAGGUGAAAUGCGUAGAGAUGUGGAGGAAUACCGAAGGCGAAGGCGGCCCCUUGGGACUGUACUGACGCUGAGGUGCGAAAGCGUGGGGAGCAAACAGG
rnacentral:rRNA from 1 species